GGGAGAACGCUGGAUCCUAGGCUGUGUCUCCCAGCACCCUGGGCUCCAGGGCCUGCGCCGCGGGAAUCUCGCCCCCUGGGGCUACGCAGCCCCCU
rnacentral:pre_miRNA from 1 species